rnacentral:rRNA from 1 species
GACGAACGCUGGCGGCGUGCCUAAUACAUGCAAGUAGAACGCUGAAGGAGGAGCUUGCUCUUCUGGAUGAGUUGCGAACGGGUGAGUAACGCGUAGGUAACCUGCCUGGUAGCGGGGGAUAACUAUUGGAAACGAUAGCUAAUACCGCAUAAGAGUAGAUGUUGCAUGACAUUUGCUUAAAAGGUGCAAUUGCACCACUACCAGAUGGACCUGCGUUGUAUUAGCUAGUUGGUGAGGUAACGGCUCACCAAGGCGACGAUACAUAGCCGACCUGAGAGGGUGAUCGGCCACACUGGGACUGAGACACGGCCCAGACUCCUACGGGAGGCAGCAGUAGGGAAUCUUCGGCAAUGGACGGAAGUCUGACCGAGCAACGCCGCGUGAGUGAAGAAGGUUUUCGGAUCGUAAAGCUCUGUUGUAAGAGAAGAACGAG